rnacentral:rRNA from 1 species
UGGGAUGACGUCAAGUCAGCAUGGCCUUUAUAUCCUGGGCUACACACACGCUACAAUGGGAAGGGACAAUAGGUUGCGAAGCCGCGAGGCGGAGCCAAUCCAGCAAAACUUCCCUCAGUUCAGAUUGCAGGCUGCAACUCGCCUGCAUGAAGUUGGAGUUGCUAGUAAACGCAGGUCAGCCAUACUGCGUUGAAUACGUUCCCGGGGCUU